AUUGAACGCUGGCGGAAUGCUUUACACAUGCAAGUCGAACGGCAGCACGGACUUCGGUCUGGUGGCGAGUGGCGAACGGGUGAGUAAUGUACCGGAACGUGCCCAGUCGUGGGGGAUAACGUAGUGAAAAUUACGCUAAUACCGCAUACGAUCUAUGGAUGAAAGCGGGGAUCGCAAGACCUCGCGCGAUUGGAGCGGCCGAUAUCAGAUUAGGUAGUUGGUGGGGUAAAGGCCCACCAAGCCAACGAUCUGUAGCUGGUCUGAGAGGACGACCAGCCACACUGGAACUGAGACACGGUCCAGACUCCUACGGGAGGCAGCAGUGGGGAAUUUUGGACAAUGGACGCAAGUCUGAUCCAGCCAUUCCGCGUGCAGGAUGAAGGCCCUCGGGUUGUAAACUGCUUUUGUACGGAACGAAAAGGUCUCUCUUAAUACGGGGGGCUCAUGACGGUACCGUAAGAAUAAGCACCGGCUAACUACGUGCCAGCCGCCGCCGUAA
rnacentral:rRNA from 1 species